UAGCCGCAAAAUCCAUAAUCUAUUGUAAGGAAAAGAGGGGAAAGAUAUUUCAACAAAAAUAAUUAAAAUUAAAACAACGAAAGAAAUCCCUAGAAGCCUAAAGAAAAGGGGGAAGAAAUCCCUAGAAUCUUAGAAGCCGAUGGAAUUCGUGACGGACCCAGACGACCAGGGUUAAGCCAUGGAAGUCGACGAUGUUGACACACCGGAGAUCUUCGGCGAAGGCGUCAUCGUUCCUUUGACAUUUAAAAUCAAUGCUUGGAAUUCAAUCUUUCUUUCCUGCUUGGAAUUUGAUAUUAUUAGUAAGGCAAAUGAAUAAAUAAAUAUAAAACUUUUGCUCCUAAAUCGUCUCUUUUGAAUCUGUGCUUCAUUUUCGUUGUUUUUCCGUCUGCUUAUCCACGUCCGAGAACAGGGAGAUCCCAUUCUGGAGACAAAGAAGAACACAAAAGAUCGAAGCUGCUACUGGAUUUUUUGAGCUUCUCUGCUUCUAGCUUUUCAUCUAUGGCCAGAUUCUCAGUUGUGACUGAUAAGGUCUCAAUGGAGGUUGUUGAAGAAUUCAUUCUAGAACAGUUGAAUCUGACAAAAGGCACAAUAUCUGAAAUUAUUGUACCUAAUUCUUUUUUUUCCUUCUUAGCCAUUAAUCAUUAUUGAGUGUUGACAUGGGGGAUCUAUGCUACUAUAUCUAUGUUACUCUUAACUCAUCAUUUUUUCUGAAGUGCUCAUGUUUGACACUUGUGUUUGAUGCAUAUUUGGACAUGGAUACAUGAACAUGAUCCUCCAAAUAUAUUAAAAUCCUUAAAAAAGUUGAGCAUACCUAUGUGGGAUAUAUACCUUAUCUAAAAAUAAAGGUUAUGCCUUUUUAAAAACUUGUUUAAUACAUUAUAUAAAUGUCUUCUUAAAAGUUUGUUAGGGCUGAAGCAUGCAGUAGUCUACUAUAAUUUGCUGCACAAAUGGAAAUUAGCUAGGUGUCCACUGCACAACCUUCAAUUAGACUUUACAUAAAAAAAUUCAUUAUUGAAGGCAAACUACCCGGCUUGCUGCAAAAUGAUUAGUUACAAACUACCUUCAUUUCUCCCAUAAAGAUCUGCCGAAAUAUGUUUCAUCUAACAAGAUUUUGAUUGACAGCACAUUCAUUUGACAGGAUAAUUUGGAAACCCUGUUGCAAAAUGACAUUCAGGCUGAUCUAGUCUGUUGCAGCAUUUGCAGUUAAGAUUUGAAACUAAAGACAAAGCAAGGAGACUUCUAAGUAAUGUGUCAUUUUUGUUUAAACCAGGGGGUUAUUUUUUCGGUAUUACUCCUGAAAAAGUGAUUGCCAAAAACUGUUGUUUCUGGAUUUGUGUAUUUUCCUUCUUUUUUUUUCUUGUGGUUACUGUUGCACCUGUGUCUGGGAGUUGAUUGUGUAAACAUUUUAGUGUGCUUUAGUUACUGUAAAAAUAUUUUUAACAUUGUUAAUUUUAAUAUUAUUGUAAGAAUAUUUUGAAUUAUAAUUCAGUUAUCAAUUUAUAUCAUAUAUCUUUCAUUGAA